CAUAGGCAAUGGCUUGGUUAAGGGAACCCACCAAAGCCAUAGUGAAGGCAAGUCUUCAUAGGGCAAUUGUUACUGCUUAUGGACUCGAACCUGGGUGAUCUAUCCAUAAUCAGGAUGAAGCUUGAGUGAAACUAAGUGGAGGUUCAAACUGACUGAUGUUGAAGAAUCAACAGAUGAGUUGUGGUUAGGGGUGAAAUACCAUAUGAACCCAGAGUCAGCUGG
rnacentral:ncRNA from 1 species